rnacentral:rRNA from 1 species
CCUACGGGAGGCUGCAGUCGAGAAUCAUUCACAAUGGGGGAAACCCUGAUGGUGCGACGCCGCGUGGGGGAAUGAAGGUCUUCGGAUUGUAAACCCCUGUCAUGUGGGAGCAAAUUAAAAAGAUAGUACCACAAGAGGAAGAGACGGCUAACUCUGUGCCAGCAGCCGCGGUAAUACAGAGGUCUCAAGCGUUGUUCGGAAUCACUGGGCGUAAAGUGUGCGUAGGCUGUUUCGUAAGUCGUGUGUGAAAGGCGCGGGCUCAACCCGCGGACGGCACAUGAUACUGCGAGACUAGAGUAAUGGAGGGGGAACCGGAAUUCUCGGUGUAGCAGUGAAAUGCGUAGAUAUCGAGAGGAACACUCGUGGCGAAGGCGGGUUCCUGGACAUUAACUGACGCUGAGGCACGAAGGCCAGGGGAGCGAAAGGGAUUAGAUACCCGAGUAGUC